AAAUGUAAUAGAGAAAUGACCGUUUUGGAUGACCACUCAUAGUGCUAUAGACACAGAGUUUGCAACGAAGCGUUUCCAUGCGAAGUUUGCAGUAAGUGGUCAGAGGAAAAACAGACGUUGAUCAGAAAGAUGAUCAAGCGAAAGAAAUCUGAAGCGGAGAGAAAGUCUGCUACAUUGCCAAAUCCAGAAGUUCCCUCUGUGGGGAAUAGUGACAAUCGUUCUGAUAGUCAAGUUUCCUCUGCGGGAAACGUAGCUGCAUCAGAAAAUCUUUCUCCGACAGAAACGAGUCAAAAUGGCGGCGACUUGACACAGGGUUCAGUCCCACCUCAAAUGUUGAUGAAGAAUUCCAGCAAAAAGGUGCAAUUCGGACUUAAAAAGCAUCAGAUGAUGAAAAAUACAGUCACUUCCUCCGACUUUGACAAGUACUGCCCAAAGCUGCGCCUUGAUGACAACAUUGAGGACAGCAGUUCUACAACAGGGAAAAAAGGAAAAAAAAAUUCUUACCGUUUCCGCAACCCUAUGUUGCAUUCACGCAACAAUGAGUUAUGGAAGAUAGAUCAAGGAUCUCGACUUCUUCUUAGAGAGUUGACAUAUGCCUCUCUAAUUACGUCCUACGUUGAUAACGUUGUAUCUGAUGAGGACACAACAGAGGCCCUACAAGCACUCAUGCAGGUGUUCAAGUCAAUGGCUGAUGUUACUUCCCGCAUAUUAGUGGGUGCAGUUGCAGCCCGCAGAGCCAUUCACAUUGAGGAUUUGGCUCUUAAAAACAAAGCAACUGAAAACAAACUACUUGUACAGACAACUCUGAAUCCUAAGCUCUUUUGUGGGAAGUAUUUUGAUAUUCUUCACGCAAGUGCAGAAAGUAUGCGCGAUGCUAAAGAAACACAGCACCUGAGGGGUUCAAAGCAGAGAGAUGGUUCAGCCCUCAGUUCUGCAAGGAAAAGAAAGAGAGAUGAUUCAGUGGGCACCCCGGAACAGAAGGAACAGCAGUCAUCCUUUGCAAAGAAGGGAAAGUUUGCUGCAGAAAAGAAUGAAAGGACUACUAUAGGAAGAGGAAGAAAUUUCAAUUCAAAAGGUUCCUUCAGAGGUCAAACUCGUGGCUCUGCACAAGAUCGUUUGGGGUUUCGCCCCCCAAAGGAGUGGAUGAAAAUUACAUCCGACGAUUGGAUUUUAAAAAUAGUCCAGGAAGAACUCAAACUUGUGUUCAUAAAACAUCCUCCAAAUACAGGAGUAAGAAUAACAAAUGUACAAGAUGUCGUCCAAAGACAAUGUAUUUUAGAAGAAAUAGAAAGUUUAUUAGGAAAGCAUGCUAUAGAGAUUGUUUCCAAGACCCAGGAAGGCCCUGAAUGUAGGAGACUGGGUGGCAUCAAUAGAUCUAAAGGAUGCAUAUCUACAUGUUCCAAUUUAUCCAAAAGACAGGAAAUACCUCAGGUUUUGCAUAGACAAUAUCCAUUAUCAAUUCAGGUCAAUGCCCUUUGGUCUAGCAACAGCCCCAAGAGUGUUUACGAAAUUAAUGGGGGCAAUAGGUGCACAUCUAAGAAGUCAACAGAUUUCCAUUUAUAUGUACUGGACGAUUGGCUUCUCAAAAAUGCAGAUCGAAUGACAUUAGUUCAUCAACUAAGUAGAACUUUGUUUCUGCUGAUGGACUUGGGCCUGGUAAUAAAUCAAUCCAAGUCAAUUCUGCAGCCAACGCAACAGAUAACUUAUCUUGGAGCACUAUUCAACCUCCAACAGGGUAUGGUCUACCCAAGUUUGGACCGUUUUCUCAGUCUGCGUGGGGCAAUUUCUACCAUGGUUAUGGAAUCUUUUAUCCCAGCACGUACAUUCUUCAGAGUCCUUGCUUUAAUGGCAGCCUGUAUAGAUUUGGUACCUCUUGCCAGACUCAAGAUGCGUCCCAUUCAGUUCUGCCUUCUGUCCCAGUGGCGUCCACAUGUGGACGAACUGGAUCAUAUGAUUCAAAUCGACAGUUUCCUCAUCCCACAUCUUCUCUGGUGGAUAGAGAGAGGGAACGUUCUGGCAGGGACGUCUAUUCUGAGCUUCAGAGCAGACCUAACCUUGUGGACAGAUGCAUCAACUUACGGGUGGGGAGCCCACCUAGAGGAUCGCCAUGUGUCGGGGAAAUGGACGGUGAUAGAACAGUCAUCACAUAUAAAUCUGUUGGAACUCAGUGCAGUGGAGAAUGCACUUCAUCACUUCAGGGACAAUGUCAAACACAGGCAAGUCUUGCUGAGGACAGACAAUUCAACAGUAGUGUCUUACAUCAAUCGCCAAGGGGGGACAAAGUCUGCAGCCCUUUGCGUGAUGACAUGGAGGAUUCUGCAUUGGUGUCACCUUCUCGGGGUACAGCCCCAAGCAGCUCACAUUCCAGGGAAAAGGAAUGUUAUAGCAGAUCAGUUGUCCAGAGGGCGACAAAUUCCCAAGAUGACAGAAUGGAGUCUCAACCAAGAAAUAGUUCAGCAGAUUUUUCAAGUCUUUUUCCACUCCAAACAUAGAUUUAUUCGCUACAAGGGAAAACCGGAAACUAACAGUGUUUUGUUCUCCGUUUCCAGACCCCUUGGCAUGGGAGUUCGAUGCGCUAGCUGUAGAUUGGACAGGGAUGUUUGCGUAUGCACUUCCUCCUCAGAUUUUAAUUCCGAAAGUACUCAGGAAAGUGGAACAGGAGUCGUGUGUUCUUCUCCUCAUCGCUCAGUUUUCACCAAGACAGUCAUGGUUUCCAGACCUACUACAUCUAUUGGUCGACAUUCCAAGGGAACUUCCAAUAAUAAGAGACAUGUUGACUCAAAGAAGAGGGCAGUUCAUUCAUCCAAGUCCAGAAAGUCUGCAUCUGGCGGUUUGGAAAAUUUCAAACAACAAAGAACAGAGAAUAGAUUUUCUGAGAAAGCUAAGUCAUUUAUCUUCAACUCCCGAAGACAGUCAACAAGAAAAAUGUAUGAUGCUAGAAUUUGAAUCUACAAGGAAUGGUGUGCCAAGAACCAAAAGGAUUCAGUUGAGGCCAC
rnacentral:sRNA from 1 species